GUAGGUGGCAAGCGUUGUCCGGAAUUAUUGGGCGUAAAGCGCGCGCAGGCGGUCCUUUAAGUCUGAUGUGAAAGCCCACGGCUCAACCGUGGAGGGUCAUUGGAGACUGGGGGACUUGAGUACAGAAGAGGAAAGCGGAAUUCCAAGUGUAGCGGUGAAAUGCGUAGAGAUUUGGAGGGACACCAGUGGCGAAGGCGGCUUUCUGGUCUGUAACUGACGCUGAGGCGCGAAAGCGUGGGGAGCAAACAGGGAUUAGAUACCCUGGUAGUCCACGCCGUAAACGAUGAGUGCUAAGUGUUAGGGGGUUUCCCGCCCCUUAGUGCUGCAGCUAACGCAUUAAGCACUCCGCCUGGGGAUACGGCCGCAAGGCUG
rnacentral:rRNA from 1 species